rnacentral:lncRNA from 1 species
AUGUAUUUUGGGUGUGAAAUUAUGCAUUUGAACAUAGUAAGAUUUUAGGGGAGAGUGGGAAAUCCUUACCGAAGAUCCAUGACAGAGUAGGAAGGAUGUAGCUUUAGUGUUUGUAUUUAUAUCCGAAGAUCCAAUUUGAGGGACAAAGUAGGAUAAGAUAAUUGAGCUAGUAAGUAGGUACAUCCAUAUCCAAAGAUCCACUUUUGGGGGACAAAGUAGGAUAUGAUUUAUCUGAGUAAAGUACCACUGCAUGUGUAGAACCUGCU